CUCCAUUCCAGGCUUUUCUGUGUCCAUCGGCUGUGCUCCUCGGUGCUGGGCUUAGAGGAGUAGAAGACGGGAGAGCCAGCUGCUGCCUGCUGGAAGCUGGAGUCUGCAGUACUGCGGUUCGCCUUGCUGCAGCUCACCUCACUGUGGUUGGCGGUAGCCACGAACGCAUGCCCCUGGAGCGACUUUACCUUGUGGGUUCACAGGGGAGACUACUGUUGCUAAACCCUGCUGAGCAUCGUUUCUGGUGGGCAGAGUUGACAAGCCACCUGCUUCUUCACUACUCCUGACUCAUCUCUGCAGAGCAGACACACCUCACUUUUUGGGCAUCACUGAAGAAUGUUCUGACUUUACCUUUUGGGUUCAGAGGGGAGACUGCUGUUGCUAAGCCCUGCUGAGCAUCAUUUCUGGUGUGGCAGAGUUGACAAGCCACCUGCUUCUUGACUACUCCUGACUCAUCUCUGCAGAGCAGACACACCUCACUUCUUGGACAUCACUAAAGAAUGUUCUGGUAAGUAAAUUUUUCAGGAUUCAAAGCUUACUGCUCAGAACACUCAGCUUUAGAAACCUGGAACUAUUUUGCCCAUUAAAAUCUGGGCUCACUGCAACCUCUGCCUCCCGGGUUCAAGCAGUUUUCUUGUGCUAGCCUCCUGAGUAGCUGGGAUUACAGGUGCCUGCCACCACGCCCAGCUACAUUUUAUAUUUUCAGUAAAGAUAGAGUUUCACAGCAU